GUUUUUGUGGUGUAGUGGUUAUCAUGUUUGCCUAACAUGCAAAAGGUUCCCUGUUUAAAACCGGGCAGAAUCA